GAUGAAGAACGCAGCGAAAUGCGAUAAGUAAUGUGAAUUGCAGAAUUCAGUGAAUCAUCGAAUCUUUGAACGCACAUUGCGCCCGCCAGUAUUCUGGCGGGCAUGCCUGUUCGAGCGUCCUUUCAACCAUCAAGCCCCCGGCUUGUGUUGGGGACCUGCGGCUGCCGCAGGCCCUGAAAACCAGUGGCGGGCUCGCUGUCACACCGAGCGUAGUAGAUUUUCAUCUCGCUCAGGGCGUGCUGCGGGUUCCGGCCGUAAAAAGCCUUAUUUACCCAAGGUUGACCUCGGAUCAGGUAGGAAGACCCGCUGAACUUAAGCAUAUCAAUAAGCGGAGGA
rnacentral:misc_RNA from 1 species